GAUGAACGCUGGCGGCGUGCCUAAUACAUGCAAGUCGAGCGAACGGACGAGAAGCUUGCUUCUCUGAUGUUAGCGGCGGACGGGUGAGUAACACGUGGAUAACCUACCUAUAAGACUGGGAUAACUUCGGGAAACCGUAGCUAAUACCGGAUAAUAUUUUGAACCGCAUGGUUCAAAAGUGAAAGACGGUCUUGCUGUCACUUAUAGAUGGAUCCGCGCUGCAUUAGCUAGUUGGUAAGGUAACGGCUUACCAAGGCAACGAUGCAUAGCCGACCUGAGAGGGUGAUCGGCCACACUGGAACUGAGACACGGUCCAGACUCCUACGGGAGGCAGCAGUAGGGAAUCUUCCGCAAUGGGCGAAAGCCUGACGGAGCGACGCCGCGUGAGUGAUGAAGGUCUUCGGAUCGUAAAACUCUGUUAUUAGGGAAGAACAUAUGUGUAAGUAACUGUGCACAUCUUGACGGUACCUAAUCAGAAAGACACGGCUAACUACGUG
rnacentral:rRNA from 1 species